CGGGGCGUGGCUCAGACCGGCUAGAGCACUCGGUUCGGGACCGAGAGGUCGGCGGUUCAAAUCCGCCCGCCCCGACCA
rnacentral:tRNA from 1 species